rnacentral:rRNA from 1 species
CCCAGAUUCCUACGGGAGGCAGCAGUGGGGAAUAUUGCACAAUGGGCGAAAGCCUGAUGCAGCGACGCCGCGUGAGGGAUGAAGGCCUUCGGGUUGUAAACCUCUUUCAGCAGGGAAGAAGCGCAAGUGACGGUACCUGCAGAAGAAGCGCCGGCUAACUACGUGCCAGCAGCCGCGGUAAUACGUAGGGCGCAAGCGUUGUCCGGAAUUAUUGGGCGUAAAGAGCUCGUAGGCGGUUUGUCGCGUCUGGUGUGAAAACUCGAGGCUCAACCUCGAGCUUGCAUCGGGUACGGGCAGACUAGAGUGCGGUAGGGGAGACUGGAAUUCCUGGUGUAGCGGUGGAAUGCGCAGAUAUCAGGAGGAACACCGAUGGCGAAGGCAGGUCUCUGGGCCGCAACUGACGCUGAGGAGCGAAAGCAUGGGGAGCGAACAGGAUUAGAUACCCUGGUAGUCCAUGCCGUAAACGUUGGGCACUAGGUGUGGGGCUCAUUCCACGAGUUCCGUGCCGCAGCAAACGCAUUAAGUGCCCCGCCUGGGGAGUACGGCCGCAAGGCUAAAACUCAAAGGAAUUGACGGGGGCCCGCACAAGCGGCGGAGCAUGCGGAUUAAUUCGAUGCAACGCGAAGAACCUUACCAAGGCUUGACAUGCACGAGAAGCCACCAGAGAUGGUGGUCUCUUUGGACACUCGUGCACAGGUGGUGCAUGGUUGUCGUCAGCUCGUGUCGUGAGAUGUUGGGUUAAGUCCCGCAACGAGCGCAACCCUCGUCCCAUGUUGCCAGCGGGUUAUGCCGGGGACUCAUGGGAGACUGCCGGGGUCAACUCGGAGGAAGGUGGGGAUGACGUCAAAUCAUCAUGCCCCUUAUGUCUUGGGCUUCACGCAUGCUACAAUGGCCGGUACAAAGGGCUGCGAUACCGUAAGGUGGAGCGAAUCCCAAAAAGCCGGUCUCAGUUCGGAUUGGGGUCUGCAACUCGACCCCAUGAAGUCGGAGUCGCUAGUAAUCGCAGAUCAGCAACGCUGCGGUGAAUACGUUCCCGGGCCUUGUACACACCGCCCGUCAAGUCACGAAAGUCGGUAACACCCGAAGCCCAUGGCCCAACCG